UAUCUAUGUUUUAGGUAUAGGAU
rnacentral:siRNA from 1 species